GGACGCCAGUCUGCAUGGAGCCGACCUUGAAAUACCACCCUUUAAUGUUUGAUGUUCUAACGUGGACCCGUUACCCGGGUUGCGGACAGUGUCUGGUGGGUAGUUUGACUGGGGCGGUCUCCUCCUAAAGAGUAACGGAGGAGCACGAAGGUUGGCUAAUCCUGGUCGGACAUCAGGAGGUUAGUGCAAUGGCAUAAGCCAGCUUGACUGCGAGCGUGACGGCGCGAGCAGGUGCGAAAGCAGGUCAUAGUGAUCCGGUGGUUCUGAAUGGAAGGGCCAUCGCUCAACGGAUAAAAGGUACUCCGGGGAUAACAGGCUGAUACCGCCCAAGAGUUCAUAUCGACGGCGGUGUUUGGCACCUCGAUGUCGGCUCAUCACAUCCUGGGGCUGAAGUAGGUCCCAAGGGUAUGGCUGUUCGCCAUUUAAAGUGGUACGCGAGCUGGGUUUAGAACGUCGUGAGACAGUUCGGUCCCUAUCUGCCGUGGGCGCUGGAGAACUGAGGGGGGCUGCUCCUAGUACGAGAGGACCGGAGUGGACGCAUCACUGGUGUUCGGGUUGUCAUGCCAAUGGCACUGCCCGGUAGCUAAAUGCGGAAGAGAUAAGUGCUGAAAGCAUCUAAGCACGAAACUUGCCCCGAGAUGAGUUCUCCCUGAGACUUAGAGUCUCCUGAAGGAACGUUGAAGACGACGACGUUGAUAGGCCGGGUGUGUAAGCGCAGCGAUGCGUUGAGCUAACCGGUACUAAUGAACCGUGAGGCUUAACCUU
rnacentral:rRNA from 1 species